rnacentral:lncRNA from 1 species
CUCUCUGACUUGACCGUCGGAGGGUCCCGUCGGAGCCGCCUCCGGUCAGUGCGGACUUUCUUUUGCAGGCGCUCGUUCCCGACGAUCAGACGAUGAAGAGAUUGGCCGCAACAUACUGCAACCAUCUUUACUUCCAAAUUCACAUAGUCCAACAAAAUUAACCAUUAGGCAAACAUCCCAUUUUUAUCCAUGUCUUUGCCAACGGAUUCAUAGUUUACGGACUUGUGUGUUUUUUCCCAUCGUCACCUAAAACAAAUAGAAGUGCCCA